UACGUAGGGUGCGAGCGUUUGUCCGGAAUUAUUGGGCGUAAAGAGCUCGUAGGCGGUUUGUCACGUCUGCUGUGAAAUCCCGAGGCUCAACCUCGGGCCUGCAGUGGGUACGGGCAGACUGGAGUGCGGUAGGGGAGAUUGGAAUUCCUGGUGUAGCGGUGGAAUGCGCAGAUAUCAGGAGGAACACCGAUGGCGAAGGCAGAUCUCUGGGCCGUAACUGACGCUGAGGAGCGAAAGCGUGGGGAGCGAACAGG
rnacentral:rRNA from 1 species